rnacentral:rRNA from 1 species
ACGAACGCUGGCGGCGUGCUUAACACAUGCAAGUCGAACGGAAAGGCCCUGCUUUUGUGGGGUGCUCGAGUGGCGAACGGGUGAGUAACACGUGAGUAACCUGCCCUUGACUUUGGGAUAACUUCAGGAAACUGGGGCUAAUACCGGAUAGGAGCUCCUGCUGCCUGGUGGGGGUUGGAAAGUUUCGGCGGUUGGGGAUGGACUCGCGGCUUAUCAGCUUGUUGGUGGGGUAGUGGCUUACCAAGGCUUUGCCGGGUAGCCGGCCUGAGAGGGUGACCGGCCACAUUGGGACUGAGAUACGGCCCAGACUCCUACGGGAGGCAGCAGUGGGGAAUAUUGCACAAUGGGCGGAAGCCUGAUGCAGCAACGCCGCGUGCGGGAUGACGGCCUUCGGGUUGUAAACCGCUUUCGCCUGUGACGAAGCGUGAGUGACGGUAAUGGGUAAAGAAGCACCGGCUAACUACGUG